CACGGGUGAGUAACACGUAUCCAACCUGCCGUCUACUCUUGGCCAGCCUUCUGAAGGAAGAUUAAUCCAGGAUGGCAUCAUGAGUUCACAUGUCCGCAUGAUUAAAGGUAUUUUCCGGUAGACGAUGGGGAUGCGUUCCAUUAGAUAGUAGGCGGGGUAACGGCCCACCUAGUCUUCGAUGGAUAGGGGUCCUGAGAGGAAGGUCCCCCACAUUGGAACUGAGACACGGUCCAA
rnacentral:rRNA from 1 species